UGGCGUUCGCAGCCUGGGAGUCACAGGCGCCCACCCACCGUUACAGCAUGUGUGCUCCAGGCUGGGAGCCAGGGCAGCCUCAUGGGCCAGCCCCAUCCGCAAGGAACCUGUGUCUGGGGAGACAGGCAGUCACGAAUGAGAUAUUUUCAGAUGCUGUGCCAGGACUGGGCUUUGGCAGUAAACAAGAUGGAAAUGAAAUUGCUUUUACGACGGCAAGCAAUCCGGCACCUAAGCAAUGAACAAGAUGGAAAACAAGAUGGAAAUCAAAGCCCCUGCCCUAGGGGCCUUUACUGGGCUGACAGGAGGCUGUCAGCAAGGAAACAAGGAGAAACCUAAUGAAAUAAGUAAGGGAUCAAAAUAAGAUGGGGUAAUGGGAUAGAGUGCCUAGGGAGCCAGCGUUAGAUGGGGAGGCCAGGGAAGGCAGUGUCUAGAAUAUGGAUGUGAUGCCUGGAGGCAUAGCAGCCAUUUUGUGACCAUGAGGCAAGAAGUGGCUGGGAGGGAUAAAAAUAAAUACAGUGGAGGGAAGGAAGGGUUGUGGAUGAUAAUGAAUAAUGGAUGGGGCUUCAAGGGAUAUAUGAGGUAAAUGAAAUGCCUUGUGAGUUAGGUUUUUCUAGCAGCCAACAUGUUCCUUUAACUACCAAAAUGGUGACAUAAACUGAUGCUGUACAAUAAACUAGGAGAAUAUGUAGAAGAAGAACUUUUCAGGUAGAGGGAACACAUGUGCAAAGGCCCUGAGGCAGGAAUAAGCUUGAAAGAGUUGACGAACGUAAACAAAGUCAGUGCAGCUGAGGUGUGAUGAAGGGACUUGGGUAAGCGGAAGCAGCAUUGAGGCCCUUGGGUUUUAUCCUUCAUGUAGUAAAUAAGAGGGCAUUGGGGACUUUUGAGCAGGAGAGAGACAUGAUGUGACUGAGGUUUUAGAAAGAUCUUUCUGGUUACUGCAUGGAGCCCACAGGGGGCAAGAUAGCAGUCAGGCCAAAAGGUCAAGUGAGGAGUGCUGGACUCUGGCCUGACUCAGCCACAGCAGAGAUGGAGUCUGGGGGCCAUGCAUAUAAUACACCACACACACCUCAACACACCCCCUUCUGCCCAGGCAGACCCAGGUUCGAGUCCUGACCCUGCCACUUGUCAGCUCUCAAACCUACCCAUUUUCUCUCUCCUUACUGCCCCAACUGUAGUGCAAGAGAGAGUCAUCCUCUCUCACCUAGCAUCUGCCACGGCCUCCUAAUCUGCCUUUCUACCUCUAGCCUUCAUCCCUCCCAUCCUUUCUCCACAUCCCAGACACAGUUAUAAAUUUUUCUUUUCUUUUUUUCAGACAGAGGUUCACUGUGUCACCCAGACUGGUCUCCAAUUCCUGGGCUCAAGUAAUCCUCCCACCUCAGCCUCCCAAAGUGUUGGCAUUACAGGCGUGAGCCACCGUGCCUGGCCCAGCCACAAUAAUUCUUUUAAAACAAUAAAUAUAACCUUACUGCUUCUCUGCUUAGAAUCUUCUAGUGGAGCCUCAGCAUCAACUCUAGAUCCCUGGCCAUGGCCUGUGUGUUUGUCAGGGCAUCGUCAGCUGCUGGAACAAAUGGGCUGAGAAAUGCUUCAUUGUUGAGAUGCAGUUCAGUCUGGUUCUUCCUCACUGUGGUGUGAAGUAGGUGUCUCUUGCCAGUGGAGAGCUUUCCUCCAUGCAGUGAUUCAGGGACCCAGGCUCCAACUGUCUUGUUCCCCUUCUGCAUCCAACCAGUUAAGGGGAAGCAGAGGUCAGGGAGGGGGAGGGGCCCUCCCACUCUUAGAAGCCUCAGUCCACCUCUGCUCACAAUUGACUGCAGGGGGAGACUAUGAAAUAGUCUGUGUAUCCAGGGAGGUCAGAAAAUUGAUUUUUAAUGAUUCACUAUGAGUCUCAGCAACAGUCUGUCUUUCUGGCAACGAGAUAGCAGUGUGCUCUUUCUUCUAUCACACCCUCCCCCAGAGGGAUGACCCAAACCCCAUCUGUCUCUGCCUGUGGCCCUGCACCUCCUGGAACAUGCCAUGCUCUCUGCUAUGACCAUCCUGGGAUCUCCAAGUAAAAUCCAGUUCCUGCUCCCUCUGAACUGGCUGGGGGCAGUUAAAGCUCUCAUUAGGGAAGCGGGAACAGGGACACAGAGCAGCCCCCACCCCACAAUUGCAGAAUCUGGCUGGCGAUGUUGUGAAGGUCACUGUCCUACUCAUGGAGGGAUUUUCCAACGCUGCUUUCUGGGAGGUCCCUCCUCAUCCAGUUUUCUCCAUGGCGACAUCUGAGGUGGGGACCACGUGGUUUUUGCAGCUCUUUUCCUGCCUGUACAAGGGUGGAGGCCCAAGGCGUGUUCUACAAUGACAGGCUUGUGGUGGCUUUGGCAAUACAAUUCCCUCCAGAUUUUAGGGAGUUUUCCUUCCAGUAAGUUCCAUGUGACCACACCCGAGGUACUUUUCUACUAUCAUCUUCCAGCAGCUUGAUU
ensembl:lncRNA